GCUGUCCAGUAAUACAUCAGGUCAGGCUGUCCAGUAAUACAUCAGGUCAGGCUGUCCAGUAACAUGCUAUACAUCAGGUCAGGCUGUCCAGUAACAUGCUAUACAUCAGGUCAGGCUGUCCAGUAAUACAUCAGGUCAGGCUGUCCAGUAACAUGCUAUACAUCAGGUCAGGCUGUCCAGUAACAUGCUAUACAUCAGGUCAGGCUGUCCAGUAAUACAUCAGGUCAGGCUGUCCAGUAAUACAUCAGGACAGGCUGUCCAGUAAUACAUCAGGUCAGGCUGUCCAGUAAUACAUCAGGUCAGGCUGUCCAGUAAUACAUCAGGUCAGGCUGUCCAGUAACAUGCUAUACAUCAGGUCAGGCUGUCCAGUAACAUGCUAUACAUCAGGUCAGGCUGUCCAGUAAUACAUCAGGUCAGGCUGUCCAGUAACAUGCUAUACAUCAGGUCAGGCUGUCCAGUAACAUGCUAUACAUCAGGUCAGGCUGUCCAGUAAUACAUCAGGUCAGGCUGUCCAGUAAUACAUCAGGUCAGGCUGUCCAGUAAUACAUCAGGUCAGGCUGUCCAGUAAUACAUCAGGUCAGGCUGUCCAGUAACAUGCUAUACAUCAGGUCAGGCUGUCCAGUAACAUGCUAUACAUCAGGUCAGGCUGUCCAGUAACAUGCUAUACAUCAGGUCAGGCUGUCCAGUAAUACAUCAGGUCAGGCUGUCCAGUAACAUGCUAUACAUCAGGUCAGGCUGUCCAGUAACACACUAUACAUUAGGUCCC